CUUUAUUGUCACUAGGAUGACCUAGAAGAAGCUUGUAUUAUCUCAUCAUACUGGUCUGAAAAGAUUGACAUUAAAGCAUGAUUAGGAUUUGAGAGACUUCCCAAAUAAUGGGUUGUAUGCUAUAGGCGUCUGUUGCAGCAUUACAGAUAAGCAGGUCCAGGCAGUGGGGGGGUUUUGGCAUUUGAUUUAGAUGGUGCCUUUGUUAACUGGGCAGGCGUCAGUUGUAAUUUUUGACAAGACAGCCUGUUCUCUAUUUAAUUAAAUUUUAAUUCAUAUAGUGUAUUUUAUAGUUACUUAUUUUAAAACAAAAUAAAAAUACUUUGUUACGGAG
rnacentral:misc_RNA from 1 species